AGCACCAAGAACAGGGCAAGAAUCACUUUCUUAGUACUGCUGGCCAGCUAUCUCUGAUACAGACAUCAGUCCCCUCCUGCCCUUUCUCGCUCUGUGGGAAUGGAGCAGAGAGCUGGGACUCUUACUAAGGCCAUGAGGCCCCAAGAUGAGGUGGGACUGUGCCCCAAGUUGGGGUGAUGGUCCCCAGGUCACAGCAAUGUUGGUCCAGGCCGAGGUGACGGAGGAUUCCUGUGAUGGCUUCUAACAGUGUUAGUUAUCCAGGUUUACCUGGUUUAUCACCAGGUUUACAAGUUCACAAGCACUUCUGAGUUUUGUGCCCUGAACCUUAGAAAUUUCUAUAAACUCCUGGUAUGACUGUAACUGCAAUGCAGCACCACAGCAGUUAUAAAAAAAGCACAUAAUUAAUUCAAAGUUGUAAGUAUGCUAAAAAUAUAAACUACGUAUGCAUUCUACAGACUUCUUUUUUUUGCCUAUGAUGUAAUUUUUUUUGUUUUAAUUGAGAAGUGAUAACUUGUUUUAGUUCUUUUAUAGCAAUGGGAUCUGAUCUGGCUGACAUAACAGAAAUAAAAUAUGAAGAAGCCUACAGGAAAAGUAUUCAUUUUAAUCUUGCUUAAAAAUUUGAAAGUGCAAAUUCAUUGAAGUUUAAAAUUUGCAGUACUGUGAAGGUGCAAGUUGAACAAUUGUCACUAAAGGUAGCUGCAAAACUGUACAAAUGAAUGGGGUUUUUCCUAGGGUAUGUUACAAAGAUAAAUUAUACUUCUAGCUCAAAGGAAAAUAGUGAAGAUGCUGAAUCCUUCCCUAAAUCAGAUAUAAUUUAUCUUUUAAAAGAUGUAACUGUCUUAUCUCUGUAGGAAAGAUAUUUGCUGUAGUGCUCAGAUAAGGUAGAAUUUGAAUCUCUUUUCUCAUAAACUAGUUUCAUGACUAAAUAGUUACAGAAAGAGCAUAUAAUAAUCCCCAGUUCAGAAAAUGGACCUCAUUGAAGUCCUUUGGUCUUGUAGAGAAAAGUAAUUUUUUAAGUACAAAAAGGGAAGUUCAAAUAACACUGAGGAAAAUUUGAGAAUUGCUAUUAACUUCAGUGCAGCUGAAGUCAUCUAAAAUACUAGGAAUUUUACCUCAGGUUGAAAAGUCAUAGAAACUUACUAAGAGCUAAAAGAAAAAGGAUCAAUUCUUCCUGCUCUAUGGAUACACAUUUGAGUUGAUUUAGACAUAUCUAAUUCAGGGUAUGAUGUGUAAAUCCUAACUAAAAUGAGUGGGACUAUUCAGACAAGAAGUGGUUUUGUGCAUAAGCACUGCAGGACUAAAUUGUUAUUGCAGGUAGGUUUGGGUUUUUUAUCUUCCUCUCCACUUCUGAGAAUUAAUACUGUAAGAAAAUACUCUCUGUUUACACAGGACUAACAACAUUACAUGCUCUGCUUCAGGUUAAUUUAAAAAUUCAAUUCCCUUAAGUAGUUUUGACAGAGGCUCAGGCAGUUUCCUGAAUGCAUUUGCAGUAGGUCUCUGUCUGGUUUCUUGUGCGGAUCUUAAUAAAGAUCCCAGAGCAGCUCUUGAACUUAGUCCAAAGUCCUGUAUAUUCUGACAUCUUUGAUGAGUAAAGUGUGCGCCAGGAGAUGGAUAUUUGCUUUCUAUUUUCUACCUGAUGAGAAUAAAAUAACUUUAUAAGAAACCUUCUGGCAUGUUGGGCCUUAUCCAAAAGCUUUCAGACUCUGCAAGAAUCUCUGCUGAUUUUAACAGUCUUAUGUAUUGAAAAAAACCCAAAGGUCCCAAAGCCCUUCAGUGAAUCAUCAGGAUAUUUUACCACAUAGUAAUUCACAUGGGAAAGGACUGCCAUUGCAAUUGUAUUUUCACUGUUAUGAUAUGAUGAUUUUUACCUUUAAUCUCAUUAGACGUGUUACUUAAAUAAUCAAUUUUGGAUACUCUGUGAAUGGUCCAAACUAGCAUUUAAAAGGAUUUUGUGCAAUUUAAUAUCCAUUAAAUAGAACAAACUGUAAUAGAAUUAUGUAUUUUAUCUCACUAAGUUACUGUAAGGACUUUGGAUCAGAUUGAGGAUCAGUGUCUCCUUUGAUAAGUGACCAACAGGGGACCUAAAAUCACUUCAUAACCACUUUUUGUGAUUUUGAGAGGAAAUACAUUGUUAUGCAAACCUCUAAUACACACAGGCAAGUAUAUAUGGACACCAGAUUAUCAGAUGCUGUGAUUUAUGUUAGAAACAGCUUAGAAAAUAUAGUGAUGGAGUAAAACAUUUGUUGUAACUCAGAAUCCUGACUAGCUCAAAUCUGUUCUGUGCCUGUUUCCAUUACAGUUCUGCACCUUGAGCUGACAUGUAAUUCCCUAUUACAAGUGCUGUUCCAGGGCUGUAAGAGACUUUUAGACACCUGCAGUAUUCAUGCUCAGUGUCCUGGCUUGCUUAGCAUCACAGAAGCUCAGGGAAGUUUGGUGUCUGGUUUUAUAAAUGCUGUUACUCUAGAGUGCUAUUGCACUCUAGAAGUUAUAAGGAAAUGUAAGCAUUCACAAGAUCAGAACAUUGGUAUUUCUUUUCUUCAUCUGGGUAGUAGAGUUCAUUUGUCAGAAGUAACUUUUUUAGAGAACACGAAUAAAUAAAUCACUACUCCAGUGUCCACAACAAUAA